rnacentral:rRNA from 1 species
CAGUCGCCGCGGUAAUACGGAGGGUGCAAGCGUUAAUCGGAAUUACUGGGCGUAAAGCGCACGCAGGCGGUCUGUCAAGUCAGAUGUGAAAUCCCCGGGCUUAACCUGGGAACUGCAUUUGAAACUGGCAGGCUAGAGUCUUGUAGAGGGGGGUAGAAUUCCAGGUGUAGCGGUGAAAUGCGUAGAGAUCUGGAGGAAUACCGGUGGCGAAGGCGGCCAUCUGGGACAACGCUGACGCUGAGGCACGAAAGCGUGGGGAGCAAACAGGAUUAGAUACCCCGGUAGUCCCUGUCUCUUAUAA